AAUACUAACUACACAAGAUAUAGUUCUUACGAGCUGUCUUAUAAACGUCCUCUGUACAACUAAUUGGACGUUUUUUUCAUUGACAGUCUAAUUUGCUAAAAUUAAAAGGAUAAUACUUAUAUGGAUUAAAAGACAUUCAUUAAUAUCAAAAGGACUAUGAGUACGCACCAAUAUUGUCUUGGAUUGGAGCGAAGAAGAAACGUUGUUUUCUUCGUUCUUCUAAUGGUUUCCGUGUAUGUUUACAUCAAGUUUCCAUUUCGGCAGUUAAUGAAAAUUACUGAACCAGGAAAAAUAGAUACAGGAAAAAACAACACAGAAAAAACAGCAAUAGAAAAUAAUUUAUAUGUAAAUAAAAAGAUACAAAAAGAAACAGAGAACUGCUCUGAAUUUAUUCAGAGUAAUUUAGAUCUACAAGUGACACAUAAUUUUUUACAAUCAUUAAAGUUGUUUAUCGUCUGUAAACGAAAGGUAAAUACAACUUUUAAUGAGAUAAUUUUUGACAUAGUUGGUGGGUUAAAGUGCGAUCCACAUGCAACCCUCUCUAAGAUAAGGAAACCACUUAUAGCUCUUGCUAGUUUUCCGGGUUCAGGAAAUACAAUGACAAGACGGAUCAUAGAAAUACUUACAGAAAAAAUGUAAGACGGACACUUUUCACACAUCUAAGAAAUUCUUAAUACCUACUGGAGUCAUAAUGCAAUGUCGCUUGGAAGAAGUUCGUGCAAAUUCAAGCGCCUCGUUGGAAAGAUAUGACUGUUUUUUGGCUGAAAAAGUUUAAAUAUCCAGUACAUAUUUUAGUAUAUGAAGAAAUGACAAGAAAUCGUAUGGACGAAGCUUUGAAACUUAGUUCAUUUUUACAUGUGAAUUCUACAUUAAACAUGUUGACUUGUACUUACAGUCAGUAUGUGGAAGAAAAAAAGAGAAGCUAUCCUCAUUCUUUAACAAGGAAAACAUUAUAUGACAUAUAUGACAUGAACCAGAUAGCAGAUAUAAACAAAGCUAUUUUACAAACACUUGAAAUAACACAGCUUAAUGUCUUACAUGACUACAUCUUACCAUAAAAUAAUAA